UUCCGGUUGAUCCUGCCGGACCCGACUGCUAUCAGAGUGGGACUAAGCCAUGCGAGUCGACGUAGCAAUGCGUGGCGAACGGCUCAGUAACACGUAGUCAACAUGCCCAGGGGACGUGGAUAACCUCGGGAAACUGAGAAUAAACCACGAUAGGUCACGAUUUCUGGAAUGGAUCAUGGCCUAAAUCUACAUGGCCCCUGGAUUGGACUGCGGCCGAUCAGGCUGUUGGUGAGGUAAUGGCCCACCAAGCCUAUAACCGGUACGGGCUCUGAGAGGAGAAGCCCGGAGAUGGGCACUGAGACAAGGGCCCAGGCCCUAUGGGGCGCAGCAGGCGCGAAACCUCUGCAAUAGGCGAAAGCCUGACAGGGUUACUCUGAGUGAUUUCCGCCAAGGGGAUCUUUUGGCACCUCUAAAAAUGGUGCAGAAUAAGGGGUGGGCAAGUCUGGUGUCAGCCGCCGCGGUAAUACCAGCACCCCGAGUGGUCGGGACGAUUAUUGGGCCUAAAGCAUCCGUAGCCGGUUCUGCAAGUCUUCCGUUAAAUCCAGCCGCUCAACGGAUGGGCCGCGGAGGAUACUACAGGACUAGGAGGCGGGAGAGGCAAGCGGUACUCAGUGGGUAGGGGUAAAAUCCUUUGAUCCAUUGAAGACCACCAGUGGCGAGGGCGGCUUGCCAGAACGCGCUCGACGGUGAGGGAUGAAAGCUGGGGGAGCAAACCGGAUUAGAUACCCGGGUAGUCCCAG
rnacentral:rRNA from 1 species